AGUGGACAGAGGCCGUCAGGUUUGGACCAGAUAAGAGAAAAAGUUCAGCCCAUAAUGUCUGGUCCACCCCAGAUGUCAUCGCAGUAUGCUAAUGAGCCAGGGGGCCUUUAAGUGCAGGGGCCCGGCCCCACAGAAGAACAGUUAGGAGAUCGUGAACCUGACGUGGACGAGAAGCAGCUUUAAAACACGGGGAGAAAAGUGUCAGCGAGCAACAGAAGAUGCAACAAAAGGAUAUCAUCUUAUACUGUAAGUUUGUUAUAGAGACACUACAGUAUAGAUGAUGUACUAUCCAGGGUUUCAUUCCCGCUCUGGAUCCUAUCAGCACACACUCAGGCUCAACUGACUGCAGGCUGCAGAACCCUACAGAGGAGGGCCGUCAAACCGUUACCAUUACUGAGUUUAAGUAAAGGUAAGGGUUCUAUGGCCCUCGCUCAAUGUCAUCAGGAUCAAGCAGGAGAAGACUGUGAUGGACGUGUUAUUAAUGAGCUUCUGAUGCCAUUCUUAGAUGUACUUGUGGAUGCAUGUGAAAUAAAGAUUAUAUGUCA